CCAUUCUCUAAAUUCAGUUAAACAGAAUUAUGGACAAAUUAGAUAGAGUAUUUAUUGUGUUUAAUAAUUCAAUAUAUACAAAAAUACAACAAGCCCAGUAAAGAGGUGGUUGGAUGGUUGAGUUUAAAAUUUAAAUUGCGAUAACUGACCAUCACUCACAGUAGCCAAGUCAUAUGUCAAGCAAAUAUGUAUUCGCAAAAGGAGUUUGUAAAUUGAAUAAAAUGACAGGCCGCUCUCUAAUUUGUUAUAGCAAGAGCCAAACCUCCGAGCAAACGCUGCAUUCCUCCGCCAUUACAUUGUAAGCGAUCUUCGGAGAGUGGCCGCGCGGCUACAGGGCCGCUUCACCCUCUGCCUGACCCCCGCGCGAUCUAAGUUUACAAAGCUGUGUCGAAACGCGAACCCCCCCCCCCCCCCGGACUCACUCGGCAGAAUUAACUUCAAUUGCGCAGCGGGAUCGUGGAGAGGGGGAAACACACGCUCCUGAUUUGCGCUGCGCACAAGCAGGCAGGACAUUUCAGAUUAGCGGGCUGUUUAGUAACAGGUACAGUAUGAGAGGGCCACGGGGGAACGCGCACAAAGGGAAGACGGGGGAAUAAAGAAGCUACUGACAUAUUUGAUGUUGUGGGUCUUGUCCAGUGGGGUUAAAGGCGUGUCUGGGCCGACAAUGCUGCUCUAAUUUAAACUAUCCGCUCCUAAAGGUUACCCGGCUCCCUGGGGCCACGCGGACCUGCUUCCUCUUCUUCCCUCUUAAUUAAAUUUCUGUCUCAUCCUCCUGCCUGGAAGUGCUGGGGUCACCAUGUGUAGCUCCUACCUAGCCAAACAACGGUGCCUUCAUGGCGUGGGCCAGUCUGUCUCACCCCCCGAUUGCUCCCAUUUGUGAUUUGUGCAGGCUAUUUUCACAUUACAAGUUUCUGCGCUCGGCCGUGGUCAGGGCCUGGUCUGCAUGAAGUGAGAUUUAAAUGUUUUUUUUUUUUUUGUUUGACAGUCACAAAGCUCGGUAUAAAGAUAUGACACGUGAUAACAAAAAUAGACACAAAAUGGCCACAAAGAGAUAAAAAAUGGUGUUCUACUGACCACACAGUUUAAAUGGUCAACAAGAAACACAUGAUAGGGAAAAAAAUACAUAAAUGACCAAACAAUGACCAAACACAAAAUGAAAAACACAAACAAACCACACACUAAUACACAAGGAAAGUGUAGAGGCAGUAAUGUUGUAUAGUUGUAUUGUAAGUUAUAAUGUAACUUCAUAAUUCACUUGCUGUAAACAAGCAAAUAAAGACAUUUAAAUUUUUCUUUAAACUUUGAUUAUAAAGCAUUCGAAAAGAAAAAUGUGCAAAUAUAUAUAUAUAUAUAUAUAUGCAAGUUAUAUAUAUUAUACUCAUUCUUAACGUCACUGGGGGAAUGCUGGUGGAGGCUCUGGAGUGUGGCCUUUAGUUGGAAACUGUAGAUCUGCUGCCACCUGCUGGAAAAGCAGCUCAAAGCAUUUACUAACUAAAACCUCCACUCUCUGUCUGUCUGUCUGUCUGUCUGUCUGUCUGUCUGUCUGUCUGUCUGUCUGUCUAUCUAUCUAUCUAUCUAUCUAUCUAUCUAUCUAUCUAUCUAUCUAUCUAUCUAUCUAUCUAUCUAUCUAUCUAUCUAUCUAGUCUAGUCUAGAAUUCACUAUGAUUGUGUUCACUAAUAAGAAAAUGUCAAUUUCAGGUAAAUGUUCAAUAAGAGAAAACAAAUGCUAAUUUAAAAUAAUAAUAAUUUAAACACUCGGAGAAGAAAAAACGUCCUUUUGAAGCAGAAGCGUUAUAAAAGGACCAUAUAGAACGACACGGUGAAACAGCGCCCCCUGGAGAACAGCGGCUGCUUUACGUCACUUAAGGUGUGUUGACAGAACGAUGCAGACUUGAAAAUCGGAAAUAACGCCACGUUUGUAUUGUAGGUACUAACUGAACUAACUGCGAAAUUAAGUUUUCCGGAAAACAAACAUAAACAAUAUGACGCAGCGCUGCUCUAUUACGUCAUGAAAACUUUCAUUGCUAGCUUAACAGAAUGCCUGUUUUUACGGAGCUAACGUCAGGAUUCAGCGAUAAAGAGGAGCCACCGUCAACAGCUGUGAGGCUGUGGUCUUCCUCACUGCUGCUGCCACCACGUCGCUGGCUGUCAUCGUCGUCCUCCGCGCUGCGAGUAAAGCUGACCUCAAUGUAGACAUGGGGCACGUUAUGCGUAUCCCUCCAUUUUCCAGUGAGUGGGUGUGAAGAUAUCCACGUCCAGGAGGAGUACAGGAGGUCUGGAGGAGGAAAAAAAAAAGGGGGGACGACUGCUUAUUGGUCCAGUAGUGAACAGAGCUGGAUGUUAGUCCACAUAACCUUCAAAGCCCAAUAAGGAUUUUGCUCAUCCAUCAUCCAUCCACCCACCCGCGCCGUCUGCAUCCGUCUGCCCUUCCGUCCAUCCACCCAGCCGUCAGUCUGCAGUAAGGAUCCUCUCCCAAACCGACUCCCGCGUCAGCAUUCAUCAAAUCAUCCAGGAACGACUCAACAGUCCCACUAAGGCGGUGCAUUAGAGAGUGAGGUGCGAUGUGAAAUGCAGCUUCCAUCUAAUUUCCCACAGUUGAAAAAAAAGCAGCCACUAUGAAAUGGAGAUGGAAAAUCGCAUAUCAAAGCUCAGGCAGGGAGUGAGUUGAAAAUAAGAUACAGGGGGACGUUAAAUGACAUAAUACAUCAGAAGGCUAAUAAUACAUUAUUGCUCUGGAUUAAAUAUGUAUCUCCUUGAUGUUAUACGUAUCUCACUUUUAUCUCUCGCCGUAGUGUUCACAUAGUGUAUUUCAUAUGCAAGCCACAUGUAUAACCCACAGUGUGACACAGAGCAGGCUGCCGUACUGUAAGUAAAGAGCUUUUUAUUCCAAGGAGCACUUUGGGCGACUGGGAGUGGAGCUGCGGAAACUGUGUACUGCUGAUUUCAGUGGUUUUCUCCUUUUAACUCCGGUUAAAGGGGUUUUCUACUCUUCUGUGGGCCGAGACAUUUCUACACCACAAAAAAUUGUUAUUAUUUAAACUAUAAACAUGAGAUUUGCCACCAACAGCACUGUGAUUUGGACAUAUUUUCAGUUUACUAAAUUAUUGUAACCUCACGACCAUCAGCAGUUUUUUUUUAUAAGCCAAAAUUCCCUUAGACAGAUAAGUCUGAAAUACUUUUAGAAGCACCUUUUUUUGCACCGCUGGCACUCAUACAGUACUUUGAAUCUAAGGCUACUACUGGUUCGCUUACUUUGGAUUACCUUCAACUAUACUGUAGAAGCAAAGAACCACCACAUCAUCUGUGUAAGUUUUAAUUAUGAGGUGUAUAAUCAUAAACUGGGCCAAAUAGAGAUUAUAAUACAGGUGAAUGUGGAAUAGCACAGCUGUAGUUUGGCGUUUUUUUGGUACAGAAGAAUUUAUGAAUUGCUAAAGUCAAAAAACAAAACAGCUUAUUAAAGCCAGGGGCCUGAUGUGUGAGCUUUUUUUUUUAUUCAUAUUUUUCUUUGUAUAAAAAAGUUGUUUUUCAAAAGUGUUUUAGAAUCACCAUACCUGCAUUAAACAUUGCAUCAGUGGCCAGUUUUAUUCUUCUUCUAUGUUUUUCUAUGUAUUAGUUCUGUUUUCUAGGAACUAGGCUACAAUAUUAUUAUUUUAUACGCUUGUAGAUGUGUAAUAUUAUGGAGGACCUUUUUGCUAGAAAAAAAUAUAUAUUCACAAACUCUCCCGGGCAACGCUGUCCAGGGUGUUUCUCGCUUCUUGCCCAGUGACAGCUAUAGGGCAGGCUGAACAGGAUGGAUGGACAUAAACGGGCAUUAAGACGGUCCAGACUGCCUCCUGUGACUUUAAUGGUUUUAAUCCACCAGUGGCCCUGUCAACCGAUCAUUUGUAACAUUUUCUGACCAUCAAUUAUCUUUUUGCUGAGGAAAGGUAGACACAGAGUCAAUAGGUCUAUUAGGGUUAAAACACUACCCUUCAAAUCCAUGUUAAGGUAGAAACACUAAGUUGAGUCCAGAGAAGAAAUAUCCCGUGAUUACUCAUCGGUCAUGAUGGAUGACUCACAGAGAGGCAGGACGGAGCAAAGCUGUCAUCAAAAGCUGACUGAAGAAUGGAAAAUAUAAUAUAAAACAUUUUCCAG